rnacentral:rRNA from 1 species
GGAAGGUGCGAGCGUUAAUCGGAAUCACUGGGCGUAAAGCGCGCGUAGGCGGUUAGGUAAGUCAGAUGUGAAAGCCCCGGGCUUAACCUGGGAACUGCGUUUGAUACUGCCUAACUAGAGUGUGAUAGAGGGAAGUGGAAUUCCACAUGUAGCGGUGAAAUGCGUAGAGAUGUGGAGGAACACCAAUGGCGAAGGCAACUUCCUGGAUCAACACUGACGCUCAGGUGCGAAAGCGUGGGGGAGCAAACAGGAUUAGAUACCCUGGUAGUCCACGCUGUAAACGAUGUCUACUAGCCGUUGGGAGGGUUUGCCCUCUUAGUGGCGCAGCUAACGCGAUAAGUAGACCCGCCUGGGAGUACGGCCGCAAGGUUA